rnacentral:lncRNA from 1 species
CGGCGGAUGCCUCGGCGCCAAUCCCCGGCGCCCACCUCACUCCCCCUUAUCCCCGUCUCACCCACUCGCGCCGCGCCCCUUAUCCCAAGCUCGUUUCUUUCUGAUCCCAAAUCCCAGCUCGCGCCGCCCGAUCCCAGAGGUCGUCGUCUCUUUCUCCUCAGCUCCACCCACGCCAAGCGCGCGCGCCGGACGCAUCCGCACCAGCAGCAGAGCAGAGAUGGCCGCCCUCGCCGCCUCCUCCACGGCCGCCUUCGCCGCCAAGCCGCGCCUGCCCCGCGCGCGCCUCUCCGUGGCCUGCUCCGCCACCGGCGGCGACGGCAGCAACGGCAGCAGCGUCUCGCUCGCCUCCUCCGUCAAGACCUUCUCCGCCGCGCUGGCGCUGUCCUCCGUCCUCCUCUCCUCCGCCGCCACCUCCCCUCCGCCGGCCGCCGCCGACAUCGCCGGCCUCACCCCGUGCAAGGAGUCCAAGGCGUUCGCCAAGCGCGAGAAGAACUCGAUCAAGAAGCUCACCACCUCGCUCAAUAAGUACGCCCCCGACAGCGCCCCCGCCCUCGCCAUCAACGCCACCAUCGAGAAGACCAAGCGCCGCUUCGAGAACUACGGCAAGUUCGGCCUGCUCUGCGGCGCCGACGGCCUGCCGCACCUCAUCGUCAGUGGCGACCAGCGGCACUGGGGCGAGUUCAUCACCCCGGGCCUGCUCUUCCUCUACAUCGCCGGGUGGAUCGGGUGGGUCGGCAGGAGCUACCUCAUCGCCAUCAGCGGCGAGAAGAAGCCCGCCAUGAGGGAGAUCAUCAUCGACGUCGAGCUCGCGUCGCGGCUCCUCCCCAGGGGGUUCAUCUGGCCCGUUGCAGCCUACCGCGAGCUCAUCAACGGAGACCUCGUCGUCGACGACAAGGACAUCGGCUACUACUAAGCGCGCCUGCAUGGCUGGUG